rnacentral:rRNA from 1 species
CGGCAGGCGCAGCUACACAUGCAGUCGAGCGGUAGAGAGAAGCUUGCUUCUCUUGAGAGCGGCGGACGGGUGAGUAAUGCCUAGGAAUCUGCCUGGUAGUGGGGGAUAACGUUCGGAAACGGACGCUAAUACCGCAUACGUCCUACGGGAGAAAGCAGGGGACCUUCGGGCCUUGCGCUAUCAGAUGAGCCUAGGUCGGAUUAGCUAGUUGGUGAGGUAAUGGCUCACCAAGGCGACGAUCCGUAACUGGUCUGAGAGGAUGAUCAGUCACACUGGAACUGAGACACGGUCCAGACUCCUACGGGAGGCAGCAGUGGGGAAUAUUGGACAAUGGGCGAAAGCCUGAUCCAGCCAUGCCGCGUGUGUGAAGAAGGUCUUCGGAUUGUAAAGCACUUUAAGUUGGGAGGAAGGGCAGUUACCUAAUACGUGAUUGUUUUGACGUUACCGACAGAAUAAUCACCGGCUAACUCUGUGCCAGCAGCCGCGGUAAUACAGAGGGUGCAAUCGUUAAUCGGAAUUACUGGGCGUAAAGCGCGCGUAGGUGGUUAAUUAAGUUGGAUGUGAAAUCCCCGGGCUCAACCUGGGAACUGCGUUCAAAACUGACUGACUAGAGUAUGGUGGAGGGUGCUGGAAUUUCCUGUGCAACGGUGAAAUGCGCAUAUUUUGGAACGAACACCGAAGGCUGUGCUCAGCACCUGGACGGAUACUGACACUGGUGUGACAUCUCUCGCCAGCCGCGCUCAACAAAUACGAUAAUCAGAUGGCCCCUGACCUGAUGAGCGGUAAACUGAUGAACGCUGCCCUCUCGGUAUGCCGCUUUUGGCGAUACCUUACCGACAGUGGAGUGCGUGCUGGUCUGCAGCGACCCAAGUUCAAGACGUGCCUGCAUCGACUCGAACAGAUGGGUUGGUUUCUCAGUACUGCCGGAGCUCGCACACGCCCCGCAUCGCCAGCCUCUGACGAUCUGGGAUGCCGUCGUAACCUAGGGACCGGUGCUAGAGGAGUGACCAAGUACAUGUACUGCACCCUCACGAGUGUUCGUCGAUGACCACAAACCUGGUUUUUUGUGACGGUAUUACGGUUGAAGUCUGGGCUCGAUUUCUCGCGAGUUGCCCAGGAACGCCGCAGAGUGCGGGGGGAGGCCUAUCUUCUGCCCUGCGACUAAAGUUCGUUUCCACGGGAUGUAAUGGGGCAUCCCGGAUGACCGCACUCCUGCAUAUAAUAAUAAGCAGUCUA